rnacentral:rRNA from 1 species
CAGCGCCACAAGUGGGAAUCAUUUUUAUUUGGCCUAAAGCGUCCGUAGCUGGUCUGAAAAAUCUUCUGUGAAAUCGUUCAGCUUAACUGAACGGCAUGCAGGAGACACUGCCAGACUCGGAACCGGGAGAAGUUAGGGGUAUUCUAGGGGGAGCGGUAAAAUGCUAUAAUCCCUAGAGGACUACCUGUGGCGAAGGCGCCUAACUAGAACGGAUUCGACAGUGAGGGACGAAAGCCAGGGGGGCGAUCCGGAUUAGAUACCCGAGUAGUCC